rnacentral:lncRNA from 1 species
AACUUCACCUCAUGGUGCUUCUUUUAACUUCACCUCAGUGUGCUUCUUUUCUUGUGAUAUGGGCUUUAGCAUGAAAGAUAACCUCAGUAAAAAUAAACGUAAUAAAGUAAGUUCACCUCUUAACUGCAGGGAGCCAUUUAACAAAUCCCAUUUCUUUUUUUCUUUUUUUUUUCUUUUUUUAUUACUAUGGUUUUUGGUAAUUCAUUUGCUCAUUGUUUAAUUCUGCACUGCAGUAGAGGAGGAGGAGGAGGAUGAUAUAUCAAGACGGAUGCAGUUUAAUUGGUUGAAAAAACUAAUGGCGCGAAAAUCAACAACAACGAGGAUCUCACAUCCCAACAACGAGGAUAACAAAACUCUGCAGGUUUAUUAAAUGUUAUGAAUCUUUGAUAUUAAAUUUUAUAUGUGAAACUGCAUCGUGCUCUUGUAUUAUAUUGGAUUUACAGUUCUAAGGGAAAUUAGGGGGGUUUUUCGAAAUGAGUACAAAACAAAACUCUGUGCUUCUGCAGGUAUAUAUAUGUUAUGGAUCUUGAUAUUAAAUUUUAUAUAUGAAACUGCAUGCUGUUGUAUUAUAUUGGAUUUACAGUUCAAAGGUUUUUUUUCGAAAUGAAUACAAAACAAAACUUGAACUCCAAGAAAGAUUAAAGCUAAGCGUCUUAUUCUGAUACAAGGUACCUCCGCCUCCACUUACGUUGCUAAUUAAUCACCUAUUCCAUCACUUAAUCAGUACGCAAUUUUGAUGUAUUUCAUUACUUAACUCAGGAAUUUCUAGAGAAAGAGG